CCUACAUCCUCAGCGAAGCGGUCAUAGCUCGACUCCAAAACUCGUGAUCUCCAAGAGCGAGAAAUCCAAGAGAAGGCUUUUCUCCCUUUCUGACAUUUCAGUAACAUGGGACAAGAGGCACUACAGGAGAUCAUCAUCACCAUGGCCAGAGGACAUCAAUUCAGGUGUACACACGAUCAGACAUAUUUUGUGUAACAAGAAAAUUGCACCAUUUUUGUCAAAGAGAUGCUCGCUUCAUCACGCUCUUAAUUUGCUUCUGAGCACAGAUUCAUAAUAACCAUGACAGUGUGUUUUCACUCACCAGC